rnacentral:sRNA from 1 species
CAGCCUAGACAUCUGUCGCUACCUGGCCCUGGACGAGGCUGACCGCAUGAUCGACAUGGGCUUCGAGGGUGACAUCCGUACCAUCUUCUCCUACUUCAAGGGCCAGCGACAGACCCUGCUCUUCAGUGCCACCAUGCCGAAGAAGAUUCAGAACUUUGCUAAGAGUGCCCUUGUAAAGCCUGUCACCAUCAAUGUGGGGCGCGCUGGGGCUGCCAGCCUGGAUGUCAUCCAGGUGGGCAGGCGCUCCUGAUGGGCGGUCUCUCACCUGUGGGGGCUGGAUCUUACAAGUCUCCCUGAAGCUGAUUGGAGCCGGGUGUCCACCUUGUGGGAACUGGGGGUUUUGUUCAAAGCCCCUGAUGCUUAACCAGGGCCAUUUUUAGGGCACCCAGCCCUUGGCAGCCAGAGGCUUCUGGUCACCUCCUGGUCCAGAUGACGGGCUAUGGCAGGGCUGUGGUGGGUAAGCCUAAUCUCAAGAUCACCUGACCUGAUCCUUGUGGUGGCAGGAGGUAGAAUAUGUGAAGGAGGAGGCCAAGAUGGUGUACCUGCUCGAGUGCCUGCAGAAGACACCCCCGCCUGUGAGUGCA